GCACCAGAUCAAAUAUCUCGCAAACUGACGGUUCAAUGUAACAGUAUGAAUGGAAAACUCUGGACUAUACUGGCCACCGUUGUACCCGAAGCACCCAGACAUGGAAAAAAAUCCCCUUUCUCUUACUGCUCUUUGGAUCGAGGUCUGGCCGAGGCAGGGAUGGCGCAAAGCUUCUGGCCGCGGAUCUAGCGCUGCUCACCUUCCCAUGAUGCGGCAUCUCAUCUCUGCUGAACUGGAGAGGCAGAUGUCAGGUCAGAGAGCUGGGUCGUCGCGUUUGACGACCAUCUCCUCCACAGUUUUCCUCGUCGAUCUCGUAUUCUCCAAUCACCCGGGAUAGAGGUCAGCAUGCCUGGUAUGGUCGAUGCGCCACAUCUAUGCAUCGUUCCUACUUCCUCCAUAAUGCCCAAUUCUUCACAGGUGAGAAGGAAACUUGGAUGGUUGGGUGUGACUUAUGUAGAAAAGAGUUGCAUGCCACUUCAUAAUUUGGGCGGCCUUUGAUAUUGCCUGAGCACCAAGUCUGAACAUCUCGCAUCAUAGAGAGUUCGCUUCAAUUGUCCUGGUGGUGGGAUCGUCGAGUCACGGCGUCGUAGAGUUGGUUGGCUUCAAUUUUCCUAGUCAUGGUGCUGAGUCGUGAGUUGCUGGGUGUCUUAGAUUUCCAGGCGGAUGGUGGGCGUGUGCUGGGUGCUGGGUGUGGCCGGCUGUGUAUUUUGAUGUAUGAGUUCUGGCUGUGCCCUUAUGGAGUCCUUGUAUGCUUAUUAUUUUUCUUCCAAUUAAAGCCUAUAUGUGACAAUAGGUUGAUGGAUGCGGCCAAUUUUGUAUUUUUAUGGGGACUCUGUCCGUAAGCACUCUUUGUAUGUGUUUACGUGUCCUUGGCUUACCGAGUGUCCGAGUUAUGUAUGUGUCCUUUAGAGUCCCGAUUAGGAAUUGCACGUGACAAUAGUUGGACAUGUAACGCCUUUAUAUAAUAUAUUAGUGGAAGAGAUAAUUAUUU